ensembl:snRNA U6 U6 spliceosomal RNA
AUGCUAACUUCAGCAGCACAUAUGUUAAAAUUGGAAUGAUACAGAAGUGAUUAGCAUGGCCCAUACACAAGAAUGACACAAAGUCAUGAAGUAUUCCAUAAUUUA